rnacentral:misc_RNA from 1 species
ACUUUUAUCUGUGCAAAAUGAAACUAACUUUUGGCUGGCUCGGCAAAUCUCUAUUUUACCAACAAUGUGCGUGCGUCUCAAGUACACUAUUAGGUAUACUUGUAAGAGUGGUUCUAAUUCUUCUGACCAUGCAGAGUUCAUCUGAUGGAUUCGUUUGUGAAAAAGACGCUGUUCACUGUCACACCUCGCUUAAAAUAGACAAUGCUUUUACAAUGAUUGAUCCGAUAAACGGACCGCUUUUCGUAGAUGAAGGCACUCUUCGCCCAAUAUUACAGCCUGACAAAGAAGUUUCAAUUGAAAACGUUAUCACUGCAGAUGGCUGGAACACCACAUUGCCAUUGUUAACGGCUAAUAAGUCUAUGCCAGGACCUCCAAUUUUUCUUUACCAAAACCAGACUAUAACGAUCAUUGUCCAGAAUAAUUUGAUAAAUGAAGCCGUCACAAUCCACUGGCAUGGAAUAGACCAACUGGGAUGGCCAGCAAUGGACGGAGUGGCAUUUGUUACCCAAUGUCCGAUUUUACCUGGCCAAUUCUUCAACUAUACGUUUCAGCCUCGUUUUAGUGGUACUUAUUGGUAUCAUUCCCAUGUCGGAAAUCAACGAGAUAUGGGCCUGUAUGGAGCGUUCAUUGUUCUAAAACGCAAGGGAGAAGUUCCAAUCAAAAACCAGCACAUUAUUCAUUUGCAGGAAUGGAACCACAAGUUCGGGCCAAUUACGUUACUGAAAGCAAAUUUGAAUAACACGUCUAGUUCCUCCGAAUCUAUUCUGAUUAACGGAAAGGGCGAAUUUGAAAAUAACGAAGCGCCACAUGAGGUUUUCCAAUAAGAUAAAAGUAACAGCCAUUUGUUUCGGAUGAUAGGUGUUGGGUCUGCAGAUGUUCUUCUUUUCUCAGUUCCAGGGAUACCUCUUAUUGUCAAGGAAACUGACGGAUACCCAUUCGUUCCAAGAACAGUUGAUGAAAUCAUCAUUUAUCCAGCAGAGCGAUACGACUUCGAACUUGACUUGAAGAAUAUUAGAGAAGGAGUUUACAAUAUGACUGUACAUAUAUUAGAGAGGAAAUACCUUGAGAAAAGACAAAACGUUUUUGGUCUUGGUUUGAUAAACAUUACCAAUUCUUUAUCAAUUCCAGUUAAUUCAUCAGCUUCCACAAGCAAUAUUAAAACUGUUCUGAAUUGCCCAUUUGAAGUGUUCCCCAAUGAAACAAAAAUCGAAUGCAUACCGGUUUCCUUUUUGAAAUCUCGACCCUCCUUUAGACUAGAGUUUGAUAUAUUACCUCCCACUCAGGAAACUUUUACUCACUUUUUAAAUUUUGGGUUUCCUAAAGAAACGAACUAUAGUUCUAUUAAUGGUAAAAAGUUUAUUUGGCCGCUGUAUCUGCUCUCACGCAACCUUCAGAACUCAACACUUCCUGUGCAAAUUGUGAUGCCGAAACCUCAUGCGAAUGUACUCAUGCACUCAAUUUAAAGUCGGGCUCCGAAAUCAUUAUGGUCCUGUCAAACAUUGGAACCGGUGCUUCUAUCACCCAUCCAAUACACAUGCAUGGUCAUACAUUCGAAGUACUCAAGAUGGGAUUUCCUUCCGUCAAUGAAACUGGAUUUCUUAUUCCAAACAACGACAUACAAUGUAGCCCGACACUCGCAAAUAAUAAAAGUCAGUGCAACAACGCAACAUGGAGAAACGCAACCUGGAACGAUUAUCGGAGCAUUCCAAAUAUAAAUGUCGAGGAUCCAGUGCGAAAAGACACAAUCGUUGUUCCGUACGGGGGCUAUUCCAUAAUAAGGAUCUGGGCAACAAACCCUGGAGUCUGGUUUAUGCAUUGCCACAUCGAUCGACAUAUGGUAGAAGGAAUGGCUCUAAUGCUGAACGAGUCCUUUGAGAAUAUAGGAGAUUUGCCAAUAGGGUUGCAAACAUGCCAUAACUUUAAAAACCAGCCUUCAGCUCCAAAAAGUUUCUUUCAGGCUUCAGAGGAGAAUAUAAGUGAAAUGUCGUCUGCAACAAUUGGUUUGAUUGUGACGUCAGUGAUUUUGUUUCUAGCGCUCGUCAUCCUAAGUCUCAUUCUACUGAGAACUUGUCGGAAAUUGGGAGAACCAGGGCAAAGCAUGAACUUGCCAAUGAGCAGUAUAUCUGGUAGGGAGUAAAUUUCCAAUCAUACAAUACGCAAGAAGAUUUCAGCGACAGACAAUGUUUUGCAUCGAACAUUGAGAUAUGAUCAUGAUCUGCAAUGCUUCUGCUGGCUAAUUCAAUGAUGCUUGCAUUCAUUUGACAUUACACGCUCAAUUUCUUAUGAAUUUAGAAAUGAAAGUAAAACGAAAGACAGGAAUUGAUAUUGCCGUAGAAUGUAUAAAGUAUAUUAACAUGAAAUAAGUCACUUC